rnacentral:rRNA from 1 species
UACAGAGGUCUCAAGCGUUGUUCGGAUUCAUUGGGCGUAAAGGGUGUGUAGGUGGCGCCGUAAGUCGGGUGUGAAAUUUCGGGGCUUAACUCCGAAACUGCAUUCGAUACUGCGGUGCUUGAGGACUGGAGAGGAGACUGGAAUUCAUGGUGUAGCAGUGAAAUGCGUAGAGAUCAUGAGGAAGACCGGUGGCGAAGGCGGGUCUCUGGACAGUUCCUGACACUGAGACACGAAGGCCAGGGGAGCAAACGGG